UACGUAGGGUCCGAGCGUUGUCCGGAAUUACUGGGCGUAAAGAGCUCGUAGGUGGUUUGUCGCGUUGUCCGUGAAAACUCACAGCUCAACUGUGGGCGUGCGGGCGAUACGGGCAGACUAGAGUGCGGUAGGGGAGACUGGAAUUCCUGGUGUAGCGGUGAAAUGCGCAGAUAUCAGGAGGAACACCGGUGGCGAAGGCGGGUCUCUGGACAGUUCCUGACGCUGAGGCACGAAGGCCAGGGGAGCAAACGGG
rnacentral:rRNA from 1 species